AAUUAUAUAGUUUAAAAAACAUUACAUUUUCAUUGUAAAAUUAAGAAAAUUUUCUUUAUAAUUA
rnacentral:tRNA from 1 species